rnacentral:rRNA from 1 species
ACGCGGUUUCCCCGCAAGGGGAAACUGAGUGGCGAACGGGUGAGUAACACGUGGGUGACCUACCUUCGAGUGGGGGAUAACGUCCCGAAAGGGACGCUAAUACCGCAUAACAUCCUGUCCUUGAACGGAUGGAGAUCAAAGCCGGGGAUCGUAAGACCUGGCGCUUGAUGAGGGGCCCGCGUCCGAUUAGCUAGUUGGUGAGGUAACGGCUCACCAAGGCAACGAUCGGUAGCCGGCCUGAGAGGGCGGACGGCCACACUGGGACUGAGACACGGCCCAGACUCCUACGGGAGGCAGCAGUGGGGAAUUGUUCGCAAUGGGCGCAAGCCUGACGACGCAACGCCGCGUGGAGGAUGAAGGUCUUCGGAUUGUAAACUCCUGUUGCCUGGGACGAAUGGCUCCAACCUAAUACGUUGGAGUGUGACGGUACCAGGUGAGGAAGCCCCGGCUAACUCUGUGCCAGCAGCCGCGGUAAUACAGAGGGGGCAAGCGUUG